rnacentral:lncRNA from 1 species
AAAAAUAUCACCAAUCAUUUUCUUCUGGUCCAAAAAUGCCCUAAAAACUAAUGGACCAUUUAAAACCAAACCGAAAAAGACCAAUGCUGCCCCUAUGCUAUUGAAUUUGUUAAAAAUGCCACCCAGAUCCAACCUACCCAUAAGUCCAAAUCCAAAUUUAAUAAUAAAACUCUACACCCGAUCUCUUUCUUCUUUUUCGAAUUCACCAGAGUGGUGGUUAGGUUGUUAAAUACUGUUAUACACUGUAAUAGUGCAUUAUGAAAAAAAUCAUUUUCUGCUUCUUCCUCUCUGCUCUCUGUAACUUCUAGAUUCAAGGGUUCAAGGUGUUCAUGCAAAUCUAGAUUCUAUCAUGGUAUCAAAGCGGAUUGUUGCAAUUGGGACGAAAAUCUGCAGGAUCUGAACAUCGGACAUUAUUAGAAGCUCGAAUUCAAUCGGCCAUGGGGGAAACAACAAGUCUUCAAAUUUAUCAAAAUCAUCCUCAAUUUUUAGCAUCUACAAGAUACGCCUAGAGUCGCAUUGCACGAUAUCAAGCUCACCGGACCUGAAAAUUAUGGUUUGUGAAGUAGAUCGAUGCGCAUGACACUUCUGGUGAAGAACAAGCUAGGGUUCAUAGAAGGAACCUGCUUGAAAAGCUCUUACGAAGGAGAAGUGGUGAAUCAGAGGGAAAGAUGUAACGCAGUUGUUCUCUCAUGGAUAGGAUGCACGGUCUUUGAAGAAUUACAACCGAGUAUCAUUUAUGCAUCAAAUGCAAAAACAAUGUAGAGUGAAUUCAAGGAGAGGGUUUGAUAAAUAUAAUCUCACUCGUUUUUACCUUCUAUGGAUACAAAUUGCAUCAUUAAAGCAAGGUACUGACUCUGUAAUAUCAUACUAUACAAAAAUAAAAGAUCUUUGGGGAUGAAAUUGACCGGUCAGUUCCAGCACCUGGUUGUGACUGUGAAGAGACUAGACCUUUCAUUGAGCAAUUUAAAAAUCUACGUUUAUUUCAAUUUCUUGUUAGUAUUAAUGAAAGUUAAAGUCAAGUAAAAAGUCAGAUAUUGCUUAAGAUACCAGUGUUGACUGUAAAUCAGGCUUAUACUUUGGUUAUUCCAGAGGAAAGCCUACGAGAGCUACGUGUGCUUGAAGUAAAUAGGGAGCCCUUACUUAUGAUGGCAGGACAUAAUCAAGGAUAUAAGCUAAGAAGAUUGGGGUAAUUUGCAAGCAUUGUGGAUACAAAGAACAUCUUAAGAAAAAUUGUUACAAAAUUAUAGGGUAUCCUCCCGACUUCAAAAGCAAGAAGAAACAGCAGGGCCAAGGAAACAGAACUUAUGCCAACAUGAUAUCAGAAGAGACCACAAGUUCUUCUCAGAGCCAACCACAAGGACACUUUUUCACUGAAAGUAAGUACAAGCAGCUAUUAGACCUUCUGAACAAAACACCGGCAAGUGAUGGUCAUACGCUUAUGGCAAGUAUAAUUGUAUUAUUGUCCAACGCAUCCUUUUGUGAAUGGAUAAAAUAUACAAGAGCAUGUUAUCAUAUUACAUGUCAUAAGGAGAUUGUCUAACUUAGAGAACAUUAAGCAACAAAGUGAUCAUAAGGUGCAUGUUCCAACAGGUAGAAAGUGCUCAGUAACACACAAAGGAAAUGCUUUUAUUCUAGGAGGCUAUAAACUAAAGGAUGUGUUAUAUGUUCCAGAUUUUAAGUUUAAUCUGUUAUCAAUUUCCAAGUUGACCAUGGAGUUGAGAUGUUAUGCCAUAUUCUUCCCUGACUUUUGUGUAUUGCAUGGUUUUUACAUGGGAAGGUGAUAGGGAUUGGUAGGGUGGACUGUGGACUUUAUGUGCUCAAGUGGAGAGAUAAACCUGCAGCAGUAAUGGUUAUCAAGGACACUGAUGAAUUCAACCUAUGGCACAUGAGAUUAGGACAUCCAUUAAUAAUAGCAAUAAAGCACAUUUCUAUCUUGAAUAAUAAAGUAGUAGACACCCUGCAACAUAACUGUGAAGUGGGUCCUUUAGCUAAGCAAAGCAGAUUAAAAUUUUCUCUUAGUAGUAGUAAAUAUGACUGUAAUUUUUAGCUUAUCCAUCUUGAUGUUUGGGGUCCUUACAAGUUUUCUACAUAUGAAAGAAAACAUUACUUCCUUACAAUUAUAGAUGAUUUUAGUAGGUAUACCUGCGUGUGCUUAUUGCGGUCAAAUAUGAACUUGUAACAGUGUUAAAAGAUUUCUUAUAAUGAUAAAGACUCAAUUUGGUAUAAAUGUGAAGGUAUUGAGAUCUGACAAUGAGAAAUAGUUCUUUAACUCUGGCUACAGUAAGUUGUUAGGAUCUUUAGGCAUUGUACAUCAAAGUAGUUGUCCUUACACAUCCCAAAAAAAGGGGUGGUGGAAAGUAAACACAGGUGCAUACUUGAAGUAGCUAGAGAAUUAAACUUUCAGAGUUCUCUACCUAGCAGGUUCUGGGGACAUUGCAUCAAAACAGUUGUUUACCUAAUUAACAAGUCGCCUACAUCGCUACUGUAAGGAAAGUCUCCUAUGAGGUGUUGUAUAACAAACCACAUGCCAUUGAUUACUUGAAAGUGUUGGGAUACUUAUGUUUUGCUAGCAAUUUAUCAAAGGGAGACAAGUUUGCAAAAAGGGCAAGAAAAUCAGUUCUCAUAGGGUACUCAGAAGUUCAGAAAGGAUAUAGGUUUUUUGACUUAGACACUAAAACUACCUUUCUGAGCAGAGAUGUAAUUUUUAGAGAAUACAUCAUCCCUUUAAGAGAGAAUACAACUAAUUCAAAAGACAACCUAUCUACACAAGUAUUUGUGCCCAUACAGUCGGUCUCCUCAUCACCUGCACCUACUACUGUCUCACAGGAAUCCCACACAGCUAUAGAUGUAAACAUUUAACCUACAGACACCACUCUAGUCCUAUGAGAUAUCAGUACUCCUACUGCAGAAGGAGUAGAGAUUGAUCAUGCAAUACAAGAUAUUGAAGCAGUUGAGGUUGAACAUGAAGUGCAAGAUACCUCAGCUGAAUUGAUCUCAGACACUGAACCAGAGAUACCAAUUGUUCCUGACUCCAGCAUGCUGGAAUCUACUGAUGCUCAAGGUUCCAGGAUAACCACUAGAACCUCAAAACCUCCAGUCUGGUUGAAAAACUAUCAAAUUGCUAAGAAAUUUUCUGGUCAUUGAUUGUAUCCAUUAUUUGACACCUUGACGUAUGCUAAUCUCACAAUAGGCUAUCAAGCAUACUUGCAGGCUUUCUCAGUAGAAGCUGAACCUGGUACCUUUUGGCAGGCUUCAACUGAUAGCAGAUGGGUUGCAGCUAUGUAACAGGAAAUCAAAGCUCUUGAAGACAAUAAUACUUGGGAGAUAAUGGACUUACCAUUUGGGAAGCAAGACAUUGGGUCAAAAUGGAUAUACAAAAUUAAAUACAAAGGCUAAUGAAGAGGUAGAGAGAUAUAAGGCAAGGUUGGUUGCCAAAGGGUAUAAUCAAAAUGAAGGGUUGGACUACCAUGGUACAUUUUCUCCUGUAGAAAAGAUGGUCACAGUCAGGACUAUAAGCACAACUGCUACAAAAGACCGACAUUUAUAUCAAAUGGAUGUUAGCAAUGCCUUUCUACAAGAGGACCUCUAUGAGGAGGUUUAUAUGCAGUUGCCUCAAGGAUUUUAUAAGAAGGGGGAGUUGAAAGUGUGCAGGCUUAUGAAAUCUCUCUAUGGCCUCAAACAAGUAUCCAUACAAUGGAACAUAAAGCUCACUGAUGCGCUGGUUCAUAGUGGCUACAAACAAAGUGCAUUUGAUUAUUCCUUAUUCACAAGGCAACAAGAAAAAGAUAUGGUAGUCAUACUAGUGUACAUUGAUGAUUUACUAAUUACCGAAAGUUCAAAGUCAAGGACUUAGGCCAAUUAAGGUAUUUUCUUGGAAUUGAGGUCUCAAGAUCCAAAAAGAGGAUCUUACUCAAUCAAAGAAAGCAUGUCGUAGAAUUGAUUUCAGAGGAAGGCUUAAGUGGUACAAAACUAGUUGCAACUCUUAUAGAGUUGAACGAAAAUUGACAACAGUAGAGUACGAUACAUGUGUUGGGAAGACAGGUGAUUCAGAGUUAAGGGACAAUUCAGCAUAUCAAAGAUUGAUAGGAAGAUUGUUAUAUCUAACUAUCACCAUACUUGAUAUAAGUUUUGCAGUCCAAACUUUGAGUUAGUUUAUGCAAAAGCCCAAACAGUAAAACAUGGAGGCAGCAUUGAGAGUGGUAAGAUAUAUAAAAGGAGCACCAGGUCUGGGGUUAUUAAUAGAGGCAGGAGCCAUUGGUCAUCUCAGUGUAUAUUGUGAUCCAGAUUGGGCAUCAUGCCUCAAUACAACAAGAUCUGUGGCAGGUUAUGUUGUGAAGUUAGACAAUUCUUUGAUAUCGUAGUCAAAGAAGCAACCUACAGUGAGUAGGAGCUCAGCAGAAGCUGAGUACAGAAGCAUGGCUGCUGUAACGGUAGAAAUUACAUGGCUAAUAGGAAUACUGGAAGACUUGGGGAUAACUGUGUCUAAACCUAUUUCUUUGUUCUACGAUAAUAAGGCAGCAAUACAAAUAGCUGGAAAUCCAAUACUUCACGAGAGAACAAAGCAUAGCGAGAUAGACUGUCAUUUUGUGAGAGAAAAGAUCAAGACAUGGCUUAUACAACCAUGUUAUAUUUCUUCUUCAUUGCAGUCACCAGACCUUCUAACAAAGGGAUUGACUGUUGCACAACAUAAUUUCUUAGUAUCUAAGCUUGGUGUAUUAGACAUCUUCAACCCUCCAGCUUGAGAGGGAGUAUUGAGGAGUAGAGUUAGUUAUAAUGAGAGGGGUAUUUUAGACAAUACACACACGUGAGAGACACGUGAGUGGUGGUUAGGUUGUUAAAUACUGUUAUGCACUGUAAUAGUACAUUAUGAGAAAAAAAUCAUUUUCUGCUUCUUCCUCUGUGCUCUCUAUAUCUUCUAGAUUCAAUGGUUCAAGUUGUUCAUGCAAAUCUAGAUUCUAUCAGAAUCUUAUGAGCAUGUUGGAUCUUUAGAUAUAGACGGGUCAUAUAAUUUGAUAUGUGGUUAAUGAAUGGUAUGUUUAACAAAAUUUAAUAGCUUAGUGGCAGUUUUGAUUUUUUCAUGUUUGGUUUUAAAUGGUGUAUUAGUUUUUAGGGAAUUUUUUAGUGAAAGAAAACGUCGCCGGCAUUUUUCGCUGAAUACACGACCAAAGGACUUUUCUACACCAAACUUAAUAGGUCUGGUGGAGUUUAGGCUCUUUUCCGUUUAAGAAAUUACAUUAGCAUUCACUUUAUUUUUUGUAAAGGAAAAAUCAAAAAGAAGGAAGUUAUGCCAUUGGAUAAGUUGAAUUAUGACUCGUUCUUGUACCCAAGCAAACCUUAGGAGCAAAUGGGUAAUGACUUCUCUAGAGGUUUGACUCAUUUUUAUCUGCUCAAAUUCGAUCCAGCUCGCCUAUUUGCCAUAUCUUUUUUUAGUCUACCACAAGUCAUCUCGAUCUUGAUAGAAUAUGUUUAACGAUAAAUUAGAAAUACUAAAAUAAUAGAGUGUUGCAAUUAUUUUUAUGUGAGAUUUUAAGUUUAUUAGAGUUGAAUACAUUUUUUAGUUAGCAACUUAUCAAAAAAUUGAAUGCUUUUAUUUUCUAUAUGAAUAUUCUGCAUGCUAUCUACGCAAAAAAAAAUUAUUUUUAAGCUUAUAGCCAAUUAAUAAUUAUUGUAUGUAAUGUGUGUGUCAUAAAAGAAUUUAUAUUUAAUAUUAAUAACAUUAUGAGACAUAAAUUAAUAUAUAUUUGGAUAAUUUUUGAAUUAGAAAUUUUACAAUAGUCAACCCAUUCUUGGUGUAAGAAGCUUUAGCAGCGUUUCAGUCAUUAUAACAGAAAAUUUGCUCGUAAUUGUUUAUUUAUAAAAAGGUUGUGUCAGCAAUUAAAAGUGUUUUUAAUACUUAAUACUUAUUAUCUACUUUCAAUAAGCUAAACCAUGUAGGAUCCUAGUUAUACUGGCAUACUUUAAAGCUAGGUUUAAGGUUCAAUUUUAUCUUUUUAGUAAGUAUUAAAAAUUAGAAUAAAUUAUAUCCUUAAAUUAUUUGUUCAAAGUGGAGGAAUUGUUUUUUUUAAUUAAAUUUCCCGGCAAGAUUGUGUAUUUCAUAAGAACAAAGGAUUACAAAAAAGGGUAUGUCCUUGCCCUUGAAAAUACAACGUAAGGAUAACUAGAUAUCCUUCAAAAACGGGGUAGGGAGAAAUAUAUACAUCCCUAACCCAUUACAAAGUGAAUAAUUAGUUCACAAAAAGAUUUGCCUUAUCGAACUUGGUUCUAAUACUAGGCAUCUUAUUCUUGUCUAGAUGGAAAGGGUCUUUGGCACCUUUAGGGAGUUGUUGGAAUGUAAAGAAAUAUGAUUCUAUAGAAGAAGUAGUUGCUACCGUAGCUAGGUUAUCCGCCACUUGAUUAGCCUCUCUAUAGCAGUGAACGAGAUUAACAUUGGCUUCCUGAAUCAUAUGAGAGGUACACUCCAUGAUGUUGUUCAACUUAUAGUUGCUGGUUCUAUUUUCUUUGAUCAUAUUUGUCAUAAUCAAUGAAUCCAACUCCAACGUGUAGCCUAUGUAGCCAUUUUGAACACACCAAUUGCAACAAAACCAAGCAACCUACACUUCUAUGAAAUUAUUGCUACUACCCUAAGUUGAAACUGAAAAAGCCAUAAUUAAGUAUCCCUUGUCAUCUCUGAGAAUUCCUCCAAUCCCGGCUUUUCCAUUCUCCUUGAUGAAGCUACCAUCAGUAUUCAAUUUAAAGUAGCCACCCUCCGGUUUAUUCCAAUUGACAACAAUAGCUUUAGGAAUAGGUUGGAGAUUUAGAACUAUAUCACAGUAGUUAAUUGUUCCAAGGCAUUGCGAUUUUGCAACUAGGGAAGGCUUUGGCGACUACAACUCCAAUGAUCCAAAGAACUUGUUGCUCCAUUCUAAGUAAGUUGAACUUAUUUUGACUACCAUAUUUGCAAGAACAUCUUUCUUUCCAAAUUGCCCAACAAAUAAUAGUGGGGGUAAUUUGAAGAAUCAACUUGUGAACUGCAUUUCGCUCUUUAACCUGCCCAUCACUUGUUAAUGGUAUAUCUAACUGCCCUUUGAUGAUGUAUUAUUCCUAAGGGGGAUCCUAUUAAUAUCUUGAUAUAACUAGCUGUUUCUCCUUCCAUGAAAACAUGUUGAAUGAUUUUAUUUUUAGAAUUAGCACAAUAGUUACAUCUGGAAACUAUUUGUCUUCCAAAGUUGACUAUCACAUCAUCAAAAGGUAGUUUUUUAUACCAUAAUCUCCAAGUAAGAAAAGAAAUUUUAAAAAAGAUAGAAGAAUGUCAUACCUUACGUAGCAGAUGCUCCUUUGGUUUACUUUUUUGGUUAAGUUGCAUAGUAGUCUUAUUGGGGUAUCUUCUAUCUAGUGAACGAUCUCAAUAAAUAUUAUCUGGUAAUGAGUUGUUCCCAAUUUCAAUUUCCUUUAUGUGCUAAACUAUAGGACUUGGUAAAAUAUCUUGAAGUUUAAUGAUGUUUUAUUCACCAUUCUGGAUGAGUUCCUUGACAAGAAUCUUAGGGCUUUUAUAUGUACCAGGGGCCAAGUUGGCAAGAGGACUUUUACAGGUCCAAUUGUCCCCCCAAAAAAUUGAGUUACCUGCAUUAAUAUGCCAAACCAUAUGUUGUUCUGCAAUCUUUCUUACCUUUGUCAAAUGUUUCCAUGAGUGAGAGUUUCCAGAAGACCAUUGCUUAGCAACAGGGUGAACUCUAAUGCAAUAUUUGUGCUUGAGAAAGUUAGACCACAGAGAUGUUGUUGUUCUGGAUCUCCACCAUCUUUUGAUAGCUAGAACUUCACUGAUAUCUUCCAUUUUACUAAUUCCUAUAUCUCCUUCAUCAAUAAGAAAACAUAGAUUCUUUCAUCAUCUCCAAUGGUACUUUUUAUGGUCACCAUCAGUGCCCCAGAAGAAAUUAACAAAGUGUUUCUCAAGGAUAUGAAAGGUGGCUUUAGGAGGAUUCAUAGUAGAGAGAGUAUAUAUAGGAAGAGAUUGGAGGACACUUUAAGAACGAGCCUACCUCUAUAAGAAAGCAUCUUACUAUGCCAGUCAUUGAGUCUUUUAAUGACCUUGUGAACCAAAUAGCCAAAGUAAGCAAUUUUCUUUAUUCCUACAUAAAGAGGACAUCCAAGGUAAUUAAAAGGAAACUCCUUGUCCAUAAAGCCUGUAUAAUCUCUCAUCCUAUUAAUAUGGAGGGCACAAGUGUUAGGGGCAGUCAGAAAGAAACUUUAUCUCUAUUGACAAGCUGACCUGAGCUCAUCUCGUAAGCCUUAACCACAUUCAUGAUCAUCUCAAUAGAGGUACUAUUACCACUACUAAAGAUAAUAAUAUCAUUAGCAUAGGCAAGAUGGUUAAUAAUAGGCCCUCUUAAAGGCACAGAGAAAGGAGAAAAAUUGCCAUUAUGAUUUAGAUUAUUCAGAGACCUUAGAAAGGACAUAAGCUGCAAGAAUAAAGAGAGAGGGGGAUAUGGUGUACCCUUGUUUUAAACCUUGUGAAGAUGUAAAGAAACUGGUUCUGUUACCAUUAAUAAUAAUAGAGUAGAGGUCUUGAAAAAAAAUAUUGACAUAAGCGAACUAAAUUACUUCUCUCUCUAGCUUCUCUCUCUGCGCACGUUAAACGUGUCUGCUAACACGCGCUGAUCGGAAAUGGGGAGAGGAAGUCCAAAACGUACUGUGACAAAAGUCUAGCUAGCGGAGUUCAUAGCAUCAGGUAGCCGGAAUGACAAUUUGGGGAUAAAUUGUGGAAAUUCUCCACAAUUAGGAACCCUAGCUUGCAAAAAGGGAAUACCAACAAAAAUUCCUAAUUCUGAAGGAUUGAGUACCAUGCAGAUGAAGUUAGCACAAUUUGGGAAAUUUGAGUCCUAAUUUGAUGAAUUCCACACCUAAGUCUACUACUGUGGUGACUGGUAUGAAAAGCCCAGGAAAAAGCAAUGUUCCAUUGACUGCUGUUGUUCCAUUAGCGGCAACAGUGAGUAAUCAGAAGGAGAAGAAUACGAUAGUCGAAGGAGUAUCAAGUCAAGGGAAUACAGGCAUUACACCCAAAGCAAACCAAGUGGAGGAGCAAAAAGGCAAGAAUAAGAGUUUGGGCUAAAUUCCCUCUCCAAAGAUUACUGCUAGCACGAGUAAACCAAUUGUAGAGGAAGAGCAACAGGGUACUGAGCAACAAGAUGAGAAAGUUCUUAAACAGGGGAAGACAGAUUCAAUUAAUGGGAAGAUAGAGAAACCUUGGGUGAAUCUAUUUGCGGGCAAUAGAUUGGCUGAAAGGGGGAUGGAUCUAGUCUAUAUUCCUCUACUGAUUCAGAAUGGAGUUAAGAAGGUUCAAUUGCAACAAGAGGAAAUGGCAGAAGACAUUGAGAAGUGGCAGAAGGCAAUCAUAAUGUAAUAAAAAUGAAGUAUUGUAUUCGGGACCACAUACUAUGGGGAACAAGCCAAUUAUCCUCAAAUCAUGGUCUGUUGAUUUAAAUUUUAUGAUGAGGUUUUGAAGAUUGUUCCACUGUGGGUGACUUUCCCAAAUCUACCUUUGAAUUGCUGGGGUAAGAUUAUGUUGAGUAGAAUUGCUAGUGUUUUGGGAUGAUCGAUAUAUGCUGAUGAAUGUACAUCUAGUAUAGCUAGAAUCUCAUAUGCUAGGGUUCUAAUAGAAAUGAACAUUUCCAGGGAAUUACCAAAGUGCAUUGUAGUGCAGGAUCCAUCGGGGAAAGAAUUUGAGCAGAUAGUAGAGUAUGAUUAGGUGCCACAGUAUUGUCAAAAAUGUCUUAUGGUUGGGCAUGAUUGUAAUGGCUCACAAGCAUUUGCUAAACCACAGGGAGAACGACAGUGGGAUGGCCAGUAGAAACAGAAGUUUGUAGCACCAAAUCAACAAGGCAAAGUUUAUAAUAAUGGAGGUAAUAUGCAACAAGCAAAGAUCCAAAAACCAACAGUCCAAUGGGUAGCAAGAGGACAAACCAAACAACUUGAUGAGGUGCAAGACAGACAGACAAUUCAAACUCAGCAAAUUGAGACACAGGAGACUGACAAAGCACCAUGGCAGAAAGCUAGUGGAAAAGCUUUGCAGCCUAACUAUCCCAGUCCUAAGCAAUAUGCACUUGUCACUACCAAUGGUUUUUCUCCUUUAAGAGUGGAUCCACAGGCUGAACAUUCAAGCUGGGCUGAUACAUUGAAGGACAGGGGAGUAUGAAAGAAAAUGCAGAAUAGGUUCCUCAUCAAUCCAUAUCAGUAUGAAGAUAGCUACAUGGAAUGUAAGGGGGUUCAAUAAAGUAUAUAAGCAAAAGAAGAUGAAGGUGUUUCUGCAAGUGAAUAAAAUAACUAUGAUAGCAAUUAUUGAACAUAGAAUUAAAGAUGAUAAAAUAAAGGAUGUAAUAAAUAAGGUUGUAGCUGGAUGGAAAUGAUGUUCAAAUGUCUCUUCAAAUGAAAAAGGAAGAAUAUGGCUUAUGUGGGAUCCUAAUAGUAAUAUGUUCACAGCUUUACAAAGUCACACACAAUUCAUUCAUGGAUUAGUACAAAAUGCUAAUUCUACUUUUCAAUUUGCCUUCACUGUUGUAUAUGGUCUGCACACAAUUGCUCAUAGGCAUGAUUUGUGGGCUACUUUAAAUGAGCUGGAGGAACAGAUGACCAUGCCUUGGCUACUUAUGGGAGAUUUCAAUGCAAUUAGGGAUAUGGAUGACAGAGCCAAUGGUACUGUAGUUCAGGAAAAUGAAAUCAAAGAUUUUAGAGAGUUUAUGGAAGAUUGCAGAAUGACUGAACUACCAACUGUAGGAAGAUGUUAUACAUGGACUAAUAGCCAUGUUCAUAGCAGGAUAGACAGGGUUAUAGUAAAUGCUCAAUGGAUUAUGGUAAUGCCUCCUAUGGAAGUCCAAGUGAUGGAUCCUCAUUUUUCAGAUCACUCUCCCUUGUGUAUAGAGAUGGAAGUAAGAGAGGAUAGCAGGAAAAAGUCGUUCAAGUUCUAUAAUUGUUUGCCAGAUCAUCCAGAUUUUGGCCAAAUGGUACAGGAAGGAUGGCAAUACAGGAGUCAAUAUGGAAUGUAUAUGGCAGAAUCUAAAAAAGGUGAAAGUUGCUCUAAAAGGCUUGAAUAGGAAAGAGUCUGUUGGUACAACUAUUAAGGUCAAACAGAUGAGAGAGCAAUUGGCGAACAUUCAAGCACAGAUGAGAAGCACUGCAUCAACUAUUGAUAUGUUUGAAGCUGAAAAAUCCAUUAGACAGAAACUUGAGAAAUGGAGUAUGAUAGAGGAAAGUAUAUCCAAGCAUAAGUCAAGGGUGCAGUGGCUUAAACUAGGGGACUCUAACACAGCCUUUUUCUUUGCUAGUAUGAAAGGGAGAGCCUCACAAAAUCAAAUCAAGAUACUUAUAGUUGAUGAUGGAAGCUUGAUAAAAACUGCAGCAGGUAUUGAGCAAGAAAUAGUAUGUUUUUAUAAGAGAUUGCUUGGGAAUUCAGCUAGCAGACUACCUGCAAUUGAUCCUAAUGUGAUGAAGCAAGGACCAGUUUUAACAAGGAAUCAACAACUACAACUAAUCUCACCUUUCACCAGUGAUGAUGUGUUCAAAGCCUUACAGGGGAUUGAUGACUCGAAAGCUCCAUCGGCUGAUGGUUUCAAUGCAUGUUUUUACAAGAAAGCAUGAAGCAUAAUUGGGAAGGAUGUAACAGCAGUAGUUCUUAACUUCUUCAGUGAGAGUAAAAUGUAUAAACCAGUCAAUAGCACUUCGGUCACUCUUAUUCCCAAAGUGAAAAACCCAGCCUCAAUCAAGUAGUAUCGACUUAUCUCAUGCUGUACUAUCCUGUAUAAGAUCAUCUCAAAGAUGCCAACAAGUAGAUUGCAAUCAAUAAUGGAUUAUUUGGUUGACAAGAGUUAGGCAGCUUUUGUACCAGGUAGAUUGUUGAAUGACAACAUUUUACUAGGGCAUAAACUUGUGAAAGGUUAUGGAAGGAAAGAAAUUUCACCUAGAUCUAUCAUCAAGAUAGACAUGCAGAAGGCAUAUGAUUCCCUGGAAUGGGUGUUCUUAGAACAGGUUCUCAUAGCAAUAAACAUACCCAGACAGUUCAUAAAAUGGAUUAUGAGUUGCUUUACCACUGUGUCUUAUUCAAUUGUGAUUAAUGACAAACCAAAAGUUCCAUUUGAUGCUAAGCGAGGAGUCAGACAAGGAGACGCUUUAUCACCAUAUCUCUUUGUCUUGGCAAUGGAAUACCUGACAAGGUUGUUGAAGGAUUUGAAGAAUAAACCAGACUUCAAUUUUCAUCCUAGAUAUGAGAAGCUAAAGAUAGUACAAUUGAGUUUUGCCGAUGAUCUGUUGUUAUUUUGUAGGGGGAUAAAGUGUCUACACAUAUGCUAUAUGAUUGUUUUCAUCAGUUUUCUAACUCAUCUAGGCUGAUUGCAAACCAAGAAAAGAGUUGUAUAUAUUUUGGAGGGGUGCCAAUGGAAGAUCAAUAGUAAAUUUUUCAUAGAAUGGGAUUCUCUAUAGGGUCUCUUCCAUUCAAAUACCUUGGAGUUCCAUUAAGUGCAAAACGACUAUCAAUGGCUCAAUGUCAACCUCUGCUAGAUAAGAUGUUGACAAAGGUGCAGCAUUGGACAACAAAAUUCCUGUCGUAUGCAGGAAGAUUGCAACUGAUCAAAAGUGUUAUGAUUACUAUUUUGUCCUUUUGGUCAUAGAUUUUUCCAGUGCCAAAAAAGAUUCAUUGAAGAUUGAAACUAUAUGCAAGAGAUUCCUAUGGACUGGGGAGGCUGGAAGUAGCAAGAAGGCACUGGUGGCUUGGAAACAACUCUGCUGGCCUAAGACUGCAUGUGGCUUGAAUAUAAUUGGUACUAUUACAUAGAACAGAGCAGCAAUUCUUAAACACCUCUGGAAUUUGUGCAAAAAGAAGGAUCGUUUAUGGAUUCAAUGGAUGCACACGUACUAUAUCAAGCAAGGUGAAGCAUGGACUGUCAGUGCGGUUGUUGUCCGCCAACUAAGGUCCCAUCCGUACGCUAGACGAGAUUGUCAGUGUCGUAAUGGAAAACCAAUAUCAAGAGCAAUUGCGGAAACGGAAAUGAGAGUUGAGAAUGAAAGCUUGAUUGCAUUAAUGAAAGCUAUUACAAAAGGUUACGCGAUGUCGAGGGGGAGAGACACCAAUACAGAGAUUUGUUUGCUAGAAAGUUUGAUUGCUUGGUCCCCUCUAAUAAUGCUUAAAAAAAAUAAACCAAAAUUACAAAACUAGAAUUAACUAAGCUAGAGAAACAUAAUGGAAGUACAUGAAAUAAAACUACUCUAUAUUUACAAUGAAAAGGACUUAGUUUUCUACAAGGCAGAAAAUAGGUCUGUGGGCAGCAACUUUGUCUUUUACAUCAGGGUUUGCGCGCGCGGUGCUGUUGGCACAUGCGACACUGUUUGUCUGUGCNNNNNNNNNNNNNNNNNNNNNNNNNNNNNNNNNNNNNNNNNNNNNNNNNNNNNNNNNNNNNNNNNNNNNNNNNNNNNNNNNNNNNNNNNNNNNNNNNNNNNNNNNNNNNNNNNNNNNNNNNNNNNNNNNNNNNNNNNNNNNNNNNNNNNNNNNNNNNNNNNNNNNNNNNNNNNNNNNNNNNNNNNNNNNNNNNNNNNNNNNNNNNNNNNNNNNNNNNNNNNNNNNNNNNNNNNNNNNNNNNNNNNNNNNNNNNNNNNNNNNNNNNNNNNNNNNNNNNNNNNNNNNNNNNNNNNNNNNNNNNNNNNNNNNNNNNNNNNNNNNNNNNNNNNNNNNNNNNNNNNNNNNNNNNNNNNNNNNNNNNNNNNNNNNNNNNNNNNNNNNNNNNNNNNNNNNNNNNNNNNNNNNNNNNNNNNNNNNNNNNNNNNNNNNNNNNNNNNNNNNNNNNNNNNNNNNNNNNNNNNNNNNNNNNNNNNNNNNNNNNNNNNNNNNNNNNNNNNNNNNNNNNNNNNNNNNNNNNNNNNNNNNNNNNNNNNNNNNNNNNNNNNNNNNNNNNNNNNNNNNNNNNNNNNNNNNNNNNNNNNNNNNNNNNNNNNNNNNNNNNNNNNNNNNNNNNNNNNNNNNNNNNNNNNNNNNNNNNNNNNNNNNNNNNNNNNNNNNNNNNNNNNNNNNNNNNNNNNNNNNNNNNNNNNNNNNNNNNNNNNNNNNNNNNNNNNNNNNNNNNNNNNNNNNNNNNNNNNNNNNNNNNNNNNNNNNNNNNNNNNNNNNNNNNNNNNNNNNUACAAUGAAAAGGACUUAGUUUUCUACAAGGCAGAAAAUAGGUCUGUGGGCAGCAACUUUGUCUUUUACAUCAGGGUUUGCGCGCGCGGUGCUGUUGGCACAUGCGACACUGUUUGUCUGUGCGCGCGACAUUUGGAGUCCGCCUGCGGCUGGCGGCUGGCGGCUGGCAAGGCAUUAGGAUCUGUGCACGCGACAUUGUCUGUGCGCGCAACGCGGUUGGCAUCAUCAUGAACUGUGCGCCCAACAUUAUUUGUGCGUGCGGCGCUGUUGGCAUCUGCCAGCUGCUGGACGCUGGCGUGGGCUAUCGGUGGGGCGACAGAGGCACAUGCGCGCUUGUCACUUGGAGCUGUCGAGACCAUGGAGCCGACCAUGGUGUUAGGCGUUGGGAGGUUUGCCAGGAUGCCAUGGGGUGCGUCCAAGGGGUCAUGGAGCAUGGCUGGAAAGCCGCCAAUGACAUUCUCCCCUACCUGAGUUGGUGACGUCCUUGGAGCCUUACCUACAAGAUGAUGAUUGCUCAGGCUCUUGUUGGAUGUGAGGUUUGUUCCCCUCUGUCUUGUGAGUUGGCUUUGUGAAUGAUGUUCCAUAUCUUUCUAAAGAGAUCUCAAGCGACUGACAUGGAAGACUCGAUGGAUCUUCCACCAGGCUGGGAUGGGAACCUGGUAUGUGGCUUUCCCAAUGCGUCUUUCAAUGGAAAAGGGCCCAAUAUGUUUUUGCAGUAGGCGAAGGUCAUGGGUCCUCUCUGCGAACAAGUACCACCUUGGUAUGUUUAGCAUCACUUUGUCUCCUGCUUGAUGUUUGACAAAGCAAAGAUUCUGAUCAGCGAACCUUUUCUCCCGCUCUUGGGCUUUGACGAGAUAGCUCUGCACUAUCUCUAAAUUGCGCUCCCAUUCCCUCGAGAAGUUGGCAGCUCGAGGAGAUUUCGGUAUGGUUGAUGCAUUCACCAUUUGAGGGAGAAGCGGUUGUUGUCUGGUAACAAUUUCAAAAGCGCUUUUGUUUGUAUUGGGGCUCUUUUGAGAAUUGAAACACAGUUGAGCAGCAUCCAAAAGCAUCACCCAAUGCUGUUGCGAUCCGGUUGCAAAGUGAUGAAGGUAUUCCUCCAGCAUGUCAUAGAACUGUCCCGUCUGGUCAUCUGGUGGUGGAUGGAAGUUUGAGUUGUGAUUCAAUUUUGACCCAAAGCACUUAAAGAGAUGGGUCCAAAAGUUGCUAGUGAAGCGUGAGCCGCGGUCACUAACGAUGUCUUUGGGCAGGCCCCAAUAUUUGACAAUGUGCGAGAAGAAGAGUUGAGCUAUAUCUUCUGCUGAUAUGUUUUGUGGGGCUGCUAUGAAAGUUGCAUAAUUGGAAAACCGAUCUAUUACAACCAAGAUGGAUGCAAUGUUUCCGACUUUGGGCAAUCCUGUGAUGAAGUUAAGGGAAACACUUUCCCAAGGUCUUUCUAGGGCAUGUAGUGGCUCCAGAAGUCCCGUUUGUGAUGAGCGAUCUGACUUGUCCUUUUGGUCUGUUUGACGAGUCUUCCCACACUGAAGAGCGUCAUCAGUCAUAUGAGGCCGAUGAUAUGAAUUCUAAUUCUUGUUGCAAAAGGUAGUUGGAACCAUAGGUUCAUGUCUUUUGAAUCCCUUCUUCAACUGCAUGGCCGAGAUGUUUUCAGUGGCCAUCUUUAUGGGCAUGCAUGGUAUGAUGCGGGGCUUGGCCCCCUUUUCUCCCACUAUCAGGAGCAUGUUGGCAUAUGAUACGGGUAUGGUAUUAGUUUGCCUCAGGAAUUCCAACCCUACUAUGAUUUCGAAGUCAUCAAUGAUUGUGACUCGUAGGUUGAAUCUUCCCUCAUAAGGUCCAAGCUUCAUGGGCACUUCUUUGGCUAUUCCACCUACUGGUUGGGGUGGUGAGUUGAUAGCCUUGACAUGACCCUUACUCUUUUGUACCACUAUAUCGAGGCGCUUCACCUGAGUUGAGGCUAAGUAGUUGUGGGUAGCACCUGUGUCGAUCAUUGCCCGGAUGGGUUUGCCGUUAACUUUUAUUUCGACGAACAUUAAGGUCCUCUCUUAGGUAGGAAGAGGCCUCUCAUCCGACUUCUUUUUCCCUUUCUUGGUGAUUGGGCAUGAGUCCUUCUUAGGGAUACCAGUACUGGUUCCCGCUAAGGUAUCACGAAUGGAACCAAUAAUGCAUUGAAGGUGUCUACUUGUUCUGCUUCGUCUGAGUCAUCAUCUGACUCAUCCUCAACAGUUUGAUGAGCAUUGAUCUGUAUCUGUGGGCAUUCAUUGUUCCAAUGUGGACCGCCGCAAUGGCGGCAUUCUGAAGGGGGUUUCCUCCCCUGAUUGUUAUUGACGGAUGCAGUGUUGUUGCUGCUUGAGGAAGGAGUCUUGGAUCUGGUUGCACUUCGAUCUCCCCCACUUCUGUUAGGACCACCAUUGCUAGGCUGGCUCCUGUUGUAACCCCCUUGGACAGGCGAUUAAGGCCUAUCCUUUUGAAUUUCCAUGUGAUAAUCCCCUAGGCAUUCAGCAGCUUGGAUCGCCUUGGGGAGGGUAUCUACCAUUUGUCAUUGCAGCUUCAUACGGGCAUGAGGUUUCAAACCUUCUAGGAAUGUGAAGAGCUUGUCUUUGUCACCCAUAUGACGUAUGUUUAGCAUGAGCGCGGAGAAUUCCCGCACGUAAUCCCGCACUGACCUGGUCUGGCGGAGUUCCCAUAGCUUUCUCUGUGCAUUGUACUCCACGUUUUCGGGGAAGAACUGCAGGCGUAUGGAUGCCUUCAGUUCUGUCCAUGUCUUGAGAGUAUCUUUCCCGGCCUUGUUGGCUUCGUAUUUCACUCGCCACCAAAGUUUAGCAUCGCCCUGAAGAUACAUGGCAGCAGUUGCUACCUUUUUGGCUUCUUCCAACUCGCCCACGACAUCGAAGUAUUGUUCGAUGUCAAAGAUGAAGUUUUCCACUUCUUUAGCAUCCCGAGCUCCAUCGUAUAUCUUUGGCUCCGGAAUUUUCAGCUUUUGUGGCACAGGGGUGAGGUUCACAACACCCCUGAUCUAGUUUCGCCUCCUCGAAGUAGGCUUUGUAGAGCAGCAUUGACAAUAUUGAGUUGUCCUGUUAGUUGGUCUAUGGUUUGCUGCAUGGCAGACACCCUGUCUGUCUCUUGUUCUCUAUGGGCUAAAUCCUCGGUGCGCUCCUGUUGGAGGCCCUCGAAUUUGCCAUAAAUCUCGGUUGCCUCUGUGGCUGCCGUUUAUCGGUCUCCUUCAGAUUCACGACUGAUGUUUGCUAUGUCAACUUCGGAUUAGAGCAUUCUGUGGUCCAGGUCGUCCAACCUUUGCACUAGGCUGGUUCUUAGUUCAGGCAUCGUAUCCACGAUGGGUUGUAAUACGACAUCCAUCUCUUCGAGAGCCGUAAUGCGGUCCCCAUGAUUCACCAUGGUCAGAAAUGGUGCUAAUGGCAAUAUGUUCCCUCGUCUGAUGUCGAUCCUAGGCUCUGAUACCAACUGUUAUGCGGCGCCAUCCUUAGGUUCCUUGGAAGGGUGACGUAAGGCUAAGCAACCGAUGUCAGUGCGAUUGUUGUCCGUCAACUGAGGUCCCCUCCGUACGCUAGACGAGAUUGUCAGUGUCGUACGGGAAAACCAAUGUCAAGAGAAAUUGCGGAAACGGAAAUGAGAAUUGAGAAUGAAAGCUUGAUUGCAUUAAUGAAAGCUAUUACAAAAGGCUACGCGGUGUCGAGGGGGAGAGACACCAAUAUAGAGAAAUGUUUGCUUGCUUGGUCCCCCCUAAUAAUGCUUAAAAAAAACCAAAGUUUCAAGACUAGACUUAACUAAGCUAGAGAAACAUAAUGGAAGUACAUGAAAUAAAACUACUCUAUAUUUAUAAUGAAAAGGACUUAGUUUUCUACAAGACAGAAAACAGGUCUGUGGGCAGCAACUUUGACUUUCGUAUCAGGGUCUACGCGUGCGGUGCUGUUGGCGCGCACGGCAGUAUUUAGAGUCCGCCUGCGGCAGGCGGCUGGCCGCUGGCAAGGCAUCAAGAUCUGCGCGCGCGACAUUGUCUGUGCGUGCGGCGCUGUUGGCAUUUACCAGCCGCUGGGCGCUGGGGUUGGCUAUCGGUGGGGCGACAGAGGCACAUGCGCGCUUGUCACUUGGCGCUGCCAAGACCACGGGGCCGACCAUGGCGCUAGGCGUUGGGAGGCUUGCCAAGACGCCAUGGGGUGCGUCCAAGGGGUCAUGGGGCAUGGCUGGAAAGCCGCCCAUGACAUAUAUCAAGCAAGGUGAAGCAUGGACUAUCAGAGUUAAACAAGCAGCAUGGCUGACUCAAAAGAUCCUAGGAGCUGGCAAGUAUCUAAUUGAAGCAAAUAUUAGAGUGGAAGAGGUGAUGAAUGCAAAUUGUUACUCCAUCAGAGAUAUAUACAACAAGCUAUGGGGAGAUUUUCCAAAGGUUCCAUGGAGGAAAUUGCUAUGUAACAAUGAUAGUUGUCCUAAUGGAUCUUCAUUGUAUAUAUAGCCAUACAAGGCAGGUUAUACACUAGAGAUAGACUUAUCAAAUGGGGUAUCAGAACAAACCCAGUUUGUGCUCUAUGUGAAGAAGCUGACGAGGAUCAUGAGCAUUUAUUUUUUGAAUGUAAAUACUCAGCAGCUAUAUGGUGGAAAUUAUUGUAAUGGGCUGGAAUAAGAAUAACUGUUAAAAGAUGGACUGAGGAGAUCAGAUGGGCUAAAAGUUUUGCAUCAGGGAGAAGAUCAUCGGCAGCCAUAUAUAGAUUGAUGCUAACGUGUGAUAUUUAUCGCAUAUGGCAGGAGAGGAAUUGGAGAAUUUUUCGAAACCAGAAGACGAUGUGAGGACAUGGUUAGAUUGAUAAUUCAAGAGGUCCAUUGUCGGGGGAGUCUGAAAUCCAGUUUAGUGAAAAGUCUACAAAGUUUGAACUUCUAUCCUUAGAUAAUAUUGUUUACGUAGAUUUGGUGUUGACUAGUUAAUAGGAGUUUCUAUAGCUGGGGCUGUAUGUCCAACUGUAGAAUGAUAGAGAAGGGUUACAUGGGUAGGAAUAAAAUUCAGAACUGAUUUGAUUAAAGUAGUACGCUCUGCUAAAGUAAGAAAUCUUGUCUUCCAUCCCUAUAGUCGGUAAGUCAUACGGUCAAGGAUGGAUUGGUAAUCCUACACGCAUGUUGAGGAUAGUAGCUAAUUGUUGAUGUAUGUGUGGUACAUUUUUGGAAAAGAUGAUUUUGGAUUUUUGAAAAUUUAUAUGUUGACCCGAUUGGGCACUUAAGUGUUGGAAAAGGCCGAUUAUAGUAGUGUCUGCUUUAGCAAAAAGGACAAGGUCAUCUGCAUAAAAUAAGUGCGACAAUUUUGGUCUAGCAUGACUUAUUUUAAUGGGAUCCUGAUUGUGGUUUAAUAUUUCAGCUUUGAUAAGUUGAGAAAGGGUUUCCAUAAAAAUAAUAAAUAAGUAGGGUGAAAGCGGAUAUCCCUGUCGGAUCCCACGGGAUGGUUGAAAGAAAGGGCUGGGGUGCCCAUUGAUAAGGACGGAGAUGGAAAAGGUAGUAAUACAUGACAAAAUAAGAGUAAUGAGUUUAGUGGUAAUGUUAAGACGUUGAAGGGAGAACCGAAUGAAAGACCAUUCGAGCCUGUCAAAAACCUUUUCAAGAUCUAUUUUCAGCAUCAUAUUCCCUACGCGCCCAGAAGUUCUGCGGAAGGAGUGUAAUGCUUCUUGGAAAAUGAUGGCAUUAUCGAUAGCGCGACGACCUGGUAUAAAGCUACAUUGAGUUGGGUUAAUGAGAUGUGGAAGAUCUUGACGUAGUCGAUUAACAAUGAUUUUAGUAAUUGUUUUAUAGACGGUGUUGCAAAGGAUGGGUCGAUAUUGAGAGAUAGAUUCUGGAUGUUUUACUUUGGGUAUGAGAGUAAGGAAGGUUUUAUUUAGCUGGGGAUCAAUGCGGCCUGUGGUGAAGGCCUCCUUGCAGAGUGUUGUAACAGCCGACCUGGUAGCAUGCCAAAACUUUUGAAAAAAUAUAGGAUCUAGGCUAUCGGGACCCGGGGUCUUUAGUGGCUUAAAAGAGUGGAUUGCCUGAAAGACUUCAGACGUUGUUAAAGGUCUAGUAAGAAGUGUUUGAUCGUGAUCUGACAAAAAAUUGGUUGUAGGAGUGGCGCAAGUAUUUCGGGAAAGAGGGAGGUCAGUGGUGUAUAAUGUUGAGAAAUGGUUAUGUAUAGUGGUGCGAAUCUGUCGGGGUCAAACAUCCAAUUUCCAACAUAACCAUUGAGUCCAAGCAUAUGAUUACGUGACUCUUAUGAAUUGUAGACAAAUGGAAGACGCGAGUGUUGGUGUUACCCUCAUUUAACCAUUGGACACGAGAUUUAAGCUUCCAUAAAUCCUCCUCAUAUUUGAGGAAUUGAUUAACCUCCGUAAUUAGUUUGUUUUCCAAGUUAUAGUGGAAACUAUUUUUUCUAGUGCGUUCCAUAUGUUGGAGACCCUGGAGGUGUGCCAGAUUCACCCUUUUUUUUUUUAGGAAAAGAUGUUACCAAAUGUGUUGUGGUUCCAGUAUUGUACUUGUGUGGUAAAUGAUUCCAGGGCAUUCAUAUAAGGGGAUAUUGUUUAUGCCAGUUGGUAUCUACCACCGAAGGGAAGGUGGGGUGUUGUAACCACAUGGUUUCAAAUCGAAAAAAUGAAGCUGAUUUAGGAAUAGUUUUAACUAGAUUUAGGAGUAAAUGAUAGUGGUCGGAGUAAGUGCGAGUGAGAUGUAGCACACUGGAAUCUUCAAACAGCUGCAACCAUGCCGGGUUUGCAAAGAAGCGAUCAAAUCGUUCUAAGAUUAAAGUAUUGUGCGGUUUUCGAUUAUUUGACUAAGUAAAAUGACUACCUGCAAAACCUAGGUCUAUCAUAUUAAUAUUAUGAAGGCAUUUAUUAAAUGUGGCAGAUCUAUUAGUAUUAAUAGGGCUGCCUCCAAAUUUUUCGUUUGAAGUCGUAACUUCAUUAAAAUCGCCGCAAAGAAGCCAAGGAGAGUUAUGAUUUGUUGAGAAAAUUUGUAAGUUGUCCCAUAAUAUUUUUCGAGAGUGGUAGGAUGUGCUGGCAUAUAUAAAAGAAAUGAGCCAAGGGGGAGAGGAUUGACUAACCUGCACGGAGGCGUGAAUUUCCUGGGCAGUCGCAGUGAUAGGGUCUACCA